UCAUAUUACGAUGAUUGUAAUCGCUGAAUUAUUUAGUAGUCGGACAAGGUGAUUAGAAUAUCCGGUGUAGGCCGUAUAAUUUACCGGCCGGCGACUGCGGGAAUGUAGCCAAAUGUUGAAAAAAAAUAUUUUACAUAGGAAGCGAAUAAACUACUUGAUUAGAAUUUUUAAUUUCACGUUUUUCAGAUCUAUACGGAACACAUAGUAAAACGUUCUAAAAGUUUUUUUAUUUUUUUAUUAAAAUGUAGAGAAAACAUAAUAUUCGUAGAUAAGUAGUUUCGGGGACUAACAAGAAAAUCUCUAUACCUGAUAAACUCGAAGUAGAAAAAACUAGAGACCAGACAAUAAAAAUAUAUUAUAGGACAUUUUUACGAGGACGAUGUUUUAUCAAACGCGAAUAAUUCGUUCCUUCAAAUGUGAGUUGAAUAUUUUUACGAGAAUAUCGUAAAACUUCGACGAGGUCGUUUCCAUAUAGGACGUUGUCAUCUACACAUUUUAUAAUAUGACUUUUGUCUCUAAAUUCACGAGAGUGAUGAAUAAAUGAAAGAUGCAAUGUUUGUUUAAAACACGUGAAGAAUCUUUGAAACAGAUUUGACGGUUACGCAAUAAAACAUUUGAAUAUUUUCUUAACUGCCAGAUGAAUAUCUUAGCUUUGCACAGUGGCGAUAUCGUAACCAAUGAGAUCCAUCCGGGGUGCUAUUAUUGCUAAUUGAAAACUUUAAUAUUGUAUUUAAUUCCAAAAUCUUCGUUAAAAUUGCCUAUAUACAACCUCUUGAAUACUAAGCGUAUCAUCAUACGCUUGAUGACUUGUAGUAUAAAUACUCGACAGAAAAUUAAUUUUUAUUUUGUAAAUUAGAAUCGUAAGAAACGUUUAGGUUUCCCGGUGGAUUUUCAAUUUAAUAAUUAAACACCCACGGUGCAUUCAACGGACACGUCCCGUGUCGUCAUCGUAAAGUAUUUUUUAGCUAGUUGAUAACAGAAAACACAUUUUUGAGUUAUUUCAGAUACCAGUGACGUCAAACUAAUUUUUUGUAUUUGUGACAAUAAACAUUAAUUUAUACCCCACCUAUCUCUAGACGGUAUUAAAUUUAAGUCGUGAAGGGCAUAGACCCCCAAACCAACUACCACUAUCUUAAACUAUAAAAUAUUAUUUUCACAAAUUAUAUUAUUUACUGAAUAAUGUUUAUAUUGUUGCAUCAUUUAAUAUUUUAAUGCCUAAUAGGUACUUUAAUUUAAUAAGAUCAUUAGAAACCGAUAUUGAUAUUUAACAUAGGCAGGAAUACAUUGAUUUUACAAUGAUAUUUAUUUUAAAUAAUGAGCAUAGAGAGGGAUUUAUUGGUUUUAUUAUGAUGUGUGUUUUUAUAUUAUAAUUAUUGUUUUUUUAUGUCUGUGAACAACUUUUCUACCAAAAAUCUUGCUCCGAUAUAUGUAACACCGUGUGUAAAACUCUUUCUGAAAAGUAAUUUUGUCUAGUUAGUGCAUUAUAAACGUUAAUUUUUGAUUUUCUUAUGGGUUUUAAAAAUAAUUGAGAAAAACAUGGAAAAAAUUAUAGAUAAAACGGAAAAUAUUUACAGAACACCACGGCGUUAGGUUAAGUUAUAGGUUAGAUUUCAUUUAAUUUUGUAUACAUGAUAUUUUCUAUCAGAAUUAUUGCUCCAAUCGGAAAAUUACACGAGAGCGAUUUUGUUCCUUUUAACAUACGGCAAAUAAAAAAGAGAGCCGUUUUUUGAUAUCUAAAAUAUUCUUGAUAAUAAUUUAGGAAAAUCAAAAAAUACGAUUUUUUUCAAAUUACUACGCGACGAUUUCUUAAUUUAAAGUUUGUACGACUUAUGUUUUGAGUUUUCUAAUAAAAAUAUAUUUCCGAGAGAAAAGCGACAAGAGGCCUUUUUUUUAUUGAAUUCUUAAUUUGGUUAGCGAGUUAAAAAAUCUUUUUUUGAUUUUCCGUAUAUUUUUUUAAUAAUUGAGUAAAACCGAAAACAACAUAGAAAGGACGGGAAAGUUUACGAAAACAAUGCUUUUAAUAUUUUCAAUUUUGUUUUUUUAUAGCGGUUCAAUUAAAAAUAUUUGUCGAGACUUAAAAUUUAGACAGAGAACUUAUAUUUACUUUUUUUUAAGAAGUAAUACAAUUUUAAAAACAUUUAAGCCAUUUUUGAUCUAUAACUAAGUUAUUAAACAUUAUAAUUUUAGGAGAUUUUCAUAUAACUUUUAUUCGUUAGGUUUGAUACAAUUGUUAGACCAAACAGAAAUGCUUAACAAUUUAACAGAAGGUUCAUUAUAAGUUGUUAUUAGUGGCUAACAAGAAAAUGUUGAAUUUAAUGUAGUUUUUAUUUUAUAAGAAUUUUAAUUAUAAAAUUUGAUGAAAAUCGUAAAUAUUACCUACGACCUUUCAAACCAUGUAUAACUCUGUUCAGAAUAGUUUUUGUUGAUUGAUCGUUACGAACAGAUAUACACUGAAUUCCCAUUUUUAUCUUACCCUCCCAACUUCUCACCUUCAACCAGUAGCCCAUCCAUCUUGCGAAAUAUGUCCUUCUUAUCAAUAUAAAUAUAAUAAUAUGGUCAUUAUUUUUCGUUUGAUUAGCAUUAUAUUUUUUAUAUUUUGCCUUCUAA